rnacentral:rRNA from 1 species
UUAGGCGGCCAUAGGGGCUUGGUUCACCUGUUCUCAUUCGAACACAGAAGUUAAGCAAGCUUCCGUAUCAUGCGGUACUGCACUACGCGGGAAACAUGGUAAGCUGCCAACC